AGAGUUUGAUCAUGGCUCAGAAUCAACGCUGGCGGCGUGCCUAACACAUGCAAGUCGAACGAGAAAAGUGGAGCAAUCCAUGAGUAAAGUGGCGACCGGGUGAGUAACACGUGACCAAUCUACCCUUGAGUGGGGGGAUAACCUCGGGAAACCGAAGCUAAUACCGCAUAAGCUCGAGAGAGGAAAGCAGCAAUGCGCUGAGAGAGGAGCCCGCGGCCGAUUAGCUAGUUGGCAGGGUAAAAGCCUACCAAGGCAGAGAUCGGUAGCCGGCCUGAGAGGGCACACGGCCACACUGGCACUGAAACACGGGCCAGACUCCUACGGGAGGCAGCAGUGGGGAAUCUUGCACAAUGGGGGCAACCCUGAUGCAGCGACGCCGCGUGAGCGAUGAAGCCCUUCGGGGUGUAAAGCUCUUUCGUCAGGGAAGAUAGUGACGGUACCUGGAGAAGCAGCUGCGGCUAACUACGUGCCAGCAGCCGCGGUAAUACGUAGGCAGCGAGCGUUGUUCGGAGUUACUGGGCGUAAAGGGUGUGUAGGCGGUUGUUUAAGUUUGGUGUGAAAUCUCCCGGCUCAACUGGGAGGGUGCGCCGAAUACUGAGCGACUAGAGUGCGGGAGAGGAAAGUGGAAUUCCUGGUGUAGCGGUGAAAUGCGUAGAUAUCAGGAGGAACACCGGUGGUGUAGACGGCUUUCUGGACCGUAACUGACGCUGAGACACGAAAGCGUGGGUAGCAAACAGGAUUAGAUACCCUAGUAGUCC
rnacentral:rRNA from 1 species